rnacentral:rRNA from 1 species
AUUGAACGCUGGCGGCAGGCUUAACACACGCAAGUCGAGCGAUGAAAUCCCUUCGGGGAUGGAUUAGCGGCGGACGGGUGAGUAACACGUGGGUAACCUGCCUCAAAGUGGGGGAUAGCCUUCCGAAAGGAAGAUUAAUACCGCAUAAUAUCUAAUUGCCGCAUGGCAGAUGGAUUAAAGGAGCAAUUCGCUUUGAGAUGGACCCGCGGCGCAUUAGCUAGUUGGUGAGGUAACGGCUCACCAAGGCGACGAUGCGUAGCCGACCUGAGAGGGGGAUCGGCCACAUUGGGACUGAGACACGGCCCAGACGCCUCCGGGAGGCAGCAGUGGGGAAUAUUGCGCAAUGGAGGAAACUCUGACGCAGCAACGCCGCGUGAGUGAUGAAGGUCUUCGGAUUGUAAAGCUCUGUCUUCAGGGACGAUAAUGACGGUACCUGAGGAGGAAGGCGGUGAGGUUAAUAACCUCACCGAUUGAC